rnacentral:rasiRNA from 1 species
UCCUUCUGAAGAGUUGUUGGCACGU